UAGAUGAACAUCAUAUUUGUAAUCCAUGGCUUAAUUCAAACUGGAGCAAAACAUUAUUUGCCUCUCCCUGUUCACUACCGUUCAUAUUUUUUCCGAAGUAAGGUCCCAUGAGGUCCACCAAAAGUUAGGGGCGGGGCUUCGGCG